GAUCCGGUAGUUCAGCUGGUUAGAAUACCGCCCUGUCACGGCGGAGGUCGCGGGUUCGAGUCCCGUCCGGAUCGCAA
rnacentral:tRNA from 2 species